rnacentral:lncRNA from 1 species
CGUAUAGCAUUGGUUCAGGUAGAUGCACCCACUGGUACGCUACGGCAUCCUAUGAAAUUUGUCUUCGGGAAGGUUGCGUCUCUGUGUCUGCUAUUCCCUGGGAGCUAUCAAGGCACCCGUGUUAUUGUCUCUGCUGCUACGUUUAUGGAUGCGGCUUAUUGCCCGUGAACAUGUCUACAGAGGAACCUGUCUCGAGACUGCCUGCAGUACUCGCUGCUUUGCUUGUGUCCGCAGCGUCACACUGCCUCCUAUGAUCGAUCCUCCUAUAGAUCGGCCGAUUGUGGAUAAUAGACUCAGCCGAUGUGGACGUGAAGUCCGGGAGACUGAGCUGCAUUGGGAGCUUGUCAGGCACUUUCGUCAUGGUUGGGCGGCGUUGGUGUCUGAAACCAGUGGGAGCAAGUGGCAGUGUUGAGACAUGACGAACGAGGCACCAGGCGAGCCAUUGGCGUCUAGUCGCACGACGUUGGGAUCGCGGCUCUGUUCGCUGCGUUCGUGUUACAGGCGGAAAAUGAUGUACGGACUCCGCCGUAUGAAAGCGGGCUCCAGCUGUCUUGUACCGCGAUGCUUCGAUGAAGGAGCGGGGGAGGAAAGAACCAGUAUCGCUGCUGCUAUCAGUGAAGCAGGCUGGCGCAGCCCACUUCAACUUGCCCUUUGCCGUGUCGCGUUUAUCAGUCAGAACGUUGUUGCCUAUGGUGAGCAGCUGACCGGGAGCAGUGUGCGUCGCCAUUAACGCUCUGAGGCAUUAUUGUCGGCGGUGCGACACAACUGCAGGUUGAAACAGUACGCAAACCCGCGAUGCUGGCGCGCACCAUAUGUUAAUAUCAUUAGCAGGGUGUUGUGCGAAGCCAGAGGCCCUCGCGAGGCUGCUGCUGCGUACCGUACUCCUUAACGAGGCGUUAGUAUUUCUCGGUCUCCCGCGAUGCACUCGCCUUGACAUCAUCAGCCUGUGCUUGAUAUUUUGCAUAAGCAUGACAACCCUCCACGGCAUAUGCUCUUAAUGGCUGAAGCAUCACCUUGUGGUGGGUGUGUUUAUGAUUCCACAAGAUAUGAUCAAGCUGGAGGGGACUGAUAACGCGUCGUAUAGCAUUGGUUCAGGUAGAUGCACCCACUGGUACGCUACGGCAUCCUAUGAAAUUUGUCUUCGGGAAGGUUGCGUCUCUGUGUCUGCUAUUCCCUGGGAGCUACCACGAUACCAGUGUCACGGUUUCUGCUGCUACGUCGAUGGAUGCAGCUUAUUGCUCGUGAACAUGUCUAGAGAGGAACCUGUCUCACGACUGCCUGCCGUAGUCGCUGCCUUGCUUGUGUCCGCGGCGUCACACUGCCUCCUAUGAUCGAUCCUCCUAUAGAUCGGCCGAUUGUGGAUAAUAGACUCAGCCGAUGUGGACGUGAAGUCCGGGAGACGGAGCCGUAGUGGGAGCCUGUCAGGCACUUUCGUCAUGGUUGAGUGGCGUUGGUGUCUGAACCCAAUGGCGGCACGUGGCAGUGUCGAGUCAUGACGAACGAGUCACCAGGCGAGCCAUUGGCGUGUAGUCGCAUGACGUUGGGAUCGCGGCUCUGUUCGCUGCGUUCGUGUUACAGGCGGUAGGCAACUCGGGGAGGACUGGUCACGGUGGUGACCAGUGAGUUAAUCGGGGGAUCAAGAGACUGAUGGCGUGGCAGACGCGCUCGCUAAGGGAUGCACGCCAGGACAUAGUGACUGAGGAGCAGUGGAAGCCGCGGUGAAAGAGUAGGAGUCUUGUGUUUGUGGAGCAUGCGUUGGAUCGAGUCAUCGUAGCUAGGAGAAGGAGGCUGCCGAUGAAGAAUCGUUAAUGAGGAUUACUUCGCGCAUCCCUUCAUUGUGCACCGCAAUGAUAGUAUCUGGUCUGGCGCGGUGAUACUCGUGAGUGUAGACUGGAGCUGCUGAUGAUUUCGCAUGGGCGGCGCGCAGAGAAUGUCGUGUAUCUUGCACUUGACGCCUUGGUUGGAUGUGCUGGUGGACCUGCCACCCGGUCGACCAACGCGAACGGCCUCGGUUUGUGUGUCGACCUGCCUGAUCCGCGUCCUGAGCUGCAUGCCGCGCUGGCAUCAACCGCUCGCCUGAACUGCUUUGGGCUGUGGAUUAUGCUCAGAAAAGGAAUGUAGGGACGCCGCUGCAUGGCGGUGGGCUACGGAUGUCAUGUACUGCGUUGCUUUGAUGGACGAGCAGGGACGGGGAGAACCCGUGUCAACGCGACUGUCAAUUAAAGAUAAUGGCGCAUCCCGCUCCAGCAUGCCCUUCGCCGCGUCGAUGUUUAUCAGUCACAGCGUUGUUACCUAGGGUGUGCAGCUGACCAGGAGCAGUGUGCGUCGCCAUUAACGCUGUGCCGCAUUAUUGUCGGCGGUGCGGCACAAAUGCAGCUUGAGAAUGUAUGCGAAACCGCGUUGCUGGCGCGCACCAUAUGUUAAUAGCAUUGGCAGGGUGUUGUGCGAAGCCAGAGGCUCUCGUGGGGCUGAUGCAGCAUAUCGUACUCCUUAACGAGGCGUUAGUAUUUCUCGGUCUUCCGCGAUGCAAUCGCCUUGGCAUCAUCAGCAUGUGUUUGGUAUUUCGCAUAAGCAUGACACCCGUCCAGGAUAUAUGCUCUUAGUGGCUGACGCAUCACCUUAUGGUGGGUGUUCGUCUGAUUCCUGGCGAUAUGGUCAAGCUGGAGGAGACUGAUGUCGCUUUGUACAGCAUUGGUUCAGAGAGAUGCGGCCACUGAUACGCAACGGAAUCCUAUGGAACUCGUCACUGGGAAGCUUUCGUGUCUGUGUCUUCGGUUCCCGGGGUGAUUGCCCGGUGCCCACGUUGUCGUCUCUGCUGCUACAUCGAUGGAAGCAACUUAUUGCUCAUGAACAUGUCUAGAGAGGAACCUGUCUCACGACUGCCUGCAGUAGACGCUGCCUUGCUUGUGUCUGCGGCGUCACACUGCCUCUCAGGAUCGAUCCUCCUAUAGAUUGCUCAACUGUGGAUAAUAGACUCAGCUGAUGUGGACGUGAACUCGGGGAGACGGAGCCGUAGUGGGAGCUUGUCAGGCACUUUCGUCAUGGUUGAGUGGCGUUGGUGUCUGAACCCAAUGGCGGCACGUGGCAGUGUCGAGUCAUGACGAACGAGUCACCAGGCGAGCCAUUGGCGUGUAGUCGCACGACGUUGGGAUCGCGGCUCUGUUCGCUGCGUUCGUGUUACAGGCGGUAGGCAACUCGGGGAGGACUGGUCACGGUGAUGACCAGUGAGUUAGUCGGGGGCUCAGGAGACUAGUGGCGUGGCGGACGCGCUCGCAAAGGGAUGCACGCCAGGACAUGGUGACUGAGGAGCAGUGGAAGCCGCGGCGAAGGUGCUGGAGUCGUGUAUUUGUGGAACAUGAGUUGGAUCGAGUCAUCGUAGCUAGGAGAUGGAGGCAGCCGAUGAAGAGGCGUUAAUGAGGAUUACUUCGCGCAUCCCUUCAUUGUGCACCGCAAUGAUAGUAUCUGGUCUGGCGCGGUGAUACUCUUGAGUGUAGAAUGGUGCCGUUGAUGAUUUCGCAUGGGCGGCGCGCAGAGAAUGUCGUGUAUCUUGCACUUGACGCCUUGGUUGGAUGUGCUGGUGGACCUGCCACCCGGUCGACCAACGCGAACGGCCUCGGUUCGUGUGUCGACCUGCCUGAUCCGCGUCCUGAGCUGCAUGCCGCGCUAGUGUCGACUGUUGGUCUGAACUGCUUUGUGCUGUGGACCAUGCUCAGAAAAAACAAUGUGGGGACGCCGCCGCAUGAGAGCCGGCUACGGCUGUCAUGUACCGCGUUGCUUCGACGAAUGAGCGGUGCGGGAACAACCCGUGUCGCCGCGACUGUCAAUUAAAGAGGAUGACGCAUCCCGCUCCAGCCUGACAUUCGCCGUGUCGAUGUUUAUCAGUCGCAACGUUGUUCCCUACGGUGUGAAGCUGACCAGGAGCAGUGUGCGUCGCCCUUAAAGCCCUGCGGCGUUAUUGUCGGCGGUGCGACACACGUGCAGGUUGACGAAGUACGCAAACCCGCGAGGCUCGCGCGCACCAUAUGUUAAUAGCAUUAGCUGGGUGUUGUGCGCAGCCAGAGGCCCUCGCCGGACUGAUGCGGCAUAUCCUACUCCAUAAUGAGGCAUUAGUAUUUCUCGGUCCUCCGCGAUGCCCGCGCCUCGACAGCAUCAGCCUGUGUUUGAUGUUUUGCAUAAGCAUGACACCCGUCCACGAUAUACACUCUGAGAUGCGGAUUCGUCUCCUUAUGACGGGUGUUCGUCUGAUUCCAGGCGAUAUGAUCAGGCUGACGGAGACUGAUAACGCAUCGUAUAGCAUUGUUUCAGGUAGCUGCGCCAGCUGAUAGACUACGGCAUCCUAUGGAAUUCGUCACUGGGGAGGUGUCGUCGCCGUGUCUUCGGUUCCCUGCGAGAUAUCUCGAUGGACAUGUUAUCUUGUCUGCCGCUACGUGGAUCGAUGCGACGUAUUGCCCUUGCAACCUGUCUACAGAGGGACCGGUCUUGCGACUGCCUGUGGUAGUCGCUGCUUUGCUAGUGUCUGCGGCGUCACACUGCCUCUCAUGAUCGAUCCUGCUAUAGAGUACUCAACUGUGGAUAAUAGACUCAGGCGAUGUGGACGUGAACUCGUGGAGACUGAGGCGUAGUGGGAGCGUGCCAGGCACGUUCGCUAUGGUUGGGCGGCGUGGGUGUCUGAAACGCGGGGCGGCACGUGGCAGUGUCGAGUCAUGACGAGCGAGUGUCCACGCAAUCCACUGGUCUCUGUCCGCAUGACUCUGGGAUAGCGCGUCUGCUCGUGGCGUCCGUGGAACAGGCGGUAGGCAACACGGGGAGGUCUAGUCACGAUGGUGACCAGUGUGGUAUUCGGAGGAUCGAGAGACUGGUGGCGUGUCCGACGCACUCGCUCAUGGGGAUGCACGUCAGGACAUAGUGACUGAGGAGUAUUGGAAGCCGCGGUGAAGGAGUUGGAGUCUGGUUUCUGUGGAUCGUGGGUUCGGCCGAAUCAUCGGAGCUAGGAGAAUACGAGAAGGAGGCUGCCGAGGACGAAGCAAUAAUAAGGUGCAUUCUGCGCAUCCCGCCAGUGUGAACCGAAACGAUCCGAUCUGGUCUCGACUGGUGAUAAUCGAGAAUGUAGACUGGACCUGCUGAUGAUUCCGUGUGGGCGGCGCGCAGAGAACGUCGUGUGCCAUGCCCUUGACGCGUUGGAUGCAUGUGCUGCUGAACCUUCCACCCAGCCGACCCACGGGAACGGCCUCAGCCAGUAUGGCGACCUGUCUGAUCCGCGUGCUGAGCUGCAUGCCGUGCUAGUGUCGACCGUUUGUCUGAAUUGCUGUGCGUUGUGGAUUCUGCUCAGGAACAGAAGGUAAGAAGGCCGCCGUAUGAGAGCGGGCUACAGCUGGUAUGUACCGCGUUGCUUAUUCGACGAAUGAGCGGUGCGGGAACAACCCGUGUCGCCGCGACUGUCAAUUAAAGAGGAUGACGCAUCCCGCUCCAGCCUGACAUUCGCCGUGUCGAUGUUUAUCAGUCGCAACGUUGUUCCCUACGGUGUGAAGCUGACCAGGAGCAGUGUGCGUCGCCCUUAAAGCCCUGCGGCGUUAUUGUCGGCGGUGCGACACACGUGCAGGUUGACGAAGUACGCAAACCCGCGAGGCUCGCGCGCACCAUAUGUUAAUAGCAUUAGCUGGGUGUUGUGCGCAGCCAGAGGCCCUCGCCGGACUGAUGCGGCAUAUCCUACUCCAUAAUGAGGUAUUAGUAUUUCUCGGUCCUCCGCGAUGCCCGCGCCUCGACAGCAUCAGCCUGUGUUUGAUGUUUUGCAUAAGCAUGACACCCGUCCAUGAUAUACACUCUGAGAUGCGGAUUCGUCUCCUUAUGACGGGUGUUCGUCUGAUUCCAGGCGAUAUGAUCAGGCUGACGGAGACUGAUAACGCAUCGUAUAGCAUUGUUUCAGGUAGCUGCGCCAGCUGAUAGACUACGGCAUCCUAUGGAAUUCGUCACUGGGGAGGUGUCGUCGCCGUGUCUUCGGUUCCCUGCGAGAUAUCUCGAUGGACAUGUUAUCUUGUCUGCCGCUACGUGGAUCGAUGCGACGUAUUGCCCUUGCAACCUGUCUACAGAGGGACCGGUCUUGCGACUGCCUGUGGUAGUCGCUGCUUUGCUAGUGUCUGCGGCGUCACACUGCCUCUCAUGAUCGAUCCGGCUAUAGAGUACUCAACUGUGGAUAAUAGACUCAGGCGAUGUGGACGUGAACUCGUGGAGACUGAGGCGUAGUGGGAGCGUGCCAGGCACGUUCGCUAUGGUUGGGCGGCGUGGGCGCCUGACUCUAAAUGGAGGCACACGGCAACGGAAGCGGCAACGUCCAUCCCCAACGAGCGAGUCACCACGCGAGCCAUUGGCGUCUGGUCGCAUGACUAUACGAUCGUGCCGCUGUUCUUGGCGUUCGUGGAAAAGGCGGUAGGAACCGCGUGGACGACCGAUCCCGGUGGAACUCCGAGUAGUGAAUGGUGCAUGUGGGAUCGAGUGAAUGGGGAAUCGAGUGAAUUGAGGCGUCGCGCACUCACUCUCCAAGGACGAGUGAUAACGACGUUGUGAUUAACUAUUUGUGAUUAUGUUGUUGGAGUUCGUUUUGCACCGAUGAGGGCUUUGAGUGUUUGUGUUUGUCGAACUUGUGUUGGACCACAGAAUUGAUGGUCACAGGAAGGCAAGCAGCAUUGUGGCUGAUGCGAAGGGUUAACGUGGAUUUCCUCUCGCAGCCGACUGGCGUCCGCCCCAUUUCGCUUACCGUGUCGUCAACCGGGGGUAACCGAGAGUACUGGGGGAAGCAGGUGAGGGUCUUCGUUUCGGCUGCUUCCAUAUUGAAUGCGUUGCAUUAUGACCUUGGCACAUUGGUUACGAGUGCUGCUGAAUUUCUCAGACACUCUCGACCGACGGCAACGGUCUCGGUUUGUGCGACGGCCUGGAUGAUCCGGGUGCUGGGUCGCAUGCCGUGACAUUGUCAGCUGAUGUUGCGAUCUGGUUUGCGCGGUGGAUUCUGCUCAGCAACAAGACGUAGGGACGCCUGCGCGUGGGGGGCGCGCUGCAGCUGGUACGUGUCGCCUCGUUUCGGCGACUGGGCGGCGACGGAAAGAACUGGUGUCCCCGCGACCGUCAGUGAAAAAGGAUGGAUCAGCCGGCUCCAGCCGGCCACUCGUCGUCUCGAUGUCAGCAAGUGUCACCUGGUUCAACAAGGUGUGCGGCUGGUCGGGGUCACGGAACGUGGUUGCAAAUCAGGAGCGUCUCGCCGAUUUAUGGUCGGUGGGGCGGUGCUACGGUUGUGCAGCACCAGCAAGUACGCGCACUCGCGUUCCUGGCGCGCCAAAGUAUCACGAAUAAGCCGUGGUGCGCAACCAGUGACCCGCCCAGGGCUGAUGCCGCAUAUCGCCGUCCAUGACGAGGCGUUAGUAUUUCUCGGUCAUCCGCGAUGCAAUCGCCUUGGCAUCAUCAGAAUGUGUUUGGUAUGUUGCAUGAGCUUGACACUCGUCCUCGCGGUAUGCUCUGAGUUGCUGAUGUAUCUCCUUAUGACCAGUGUUCGACUCAUUGCAGGCGAUGCGAUCAUGGUGGAGGAGCUUGACAACGCGCCGUAUAGCAUUGUCUCAAGUAGGUGUGCCCACUGAUACGUUACGGCACCCUUUGAACUUUGUCACUGGGACGGAUUUGUCUCUCUCUGUCCUGGUUUCGCUGGGAGCAGUCUCGAUGCUGACUUCAUCGCAUGUAUCGAUGGGUGAGUGACCGGUCUGCUGCUGCACCGACGGCUCCGACGUGGUGCCGUGGGAAUCUGUCUACAGAGAAACCUGUCUCGCAACUCCCUGCAGUAGCCGAUGCUUUGUGUGUGUCGGCGGCGUCACACUGCCUCUCACGUUCGAUCCUCCUUAUCGAUCGCCUGACCGCGGCUAAUAGAUGCAGCCGGUGUGGACGUGAACUCGUGGAGACUGAGCUGUACUGGGAGCGUGCCAGGCACGUUCGCUAUGGUUGGGCGGCACGGGUGUCUGAAUCCAGUGGAGGGACGCGGCAACGGCAACGUCAAUCCAUAACGAAGGAAUCGCCACACGAGCAAAUGACGUCUGGUCGCAUGACUAUACGCUCCUGCCGCUGUUGUUGGUGUUUCUGGAAAAGGCGGUAGGCACCUUUUGGAGGACUGGUCACGUUGGUGAUUAGUGUGGUAAUCAGGGGAUUACGGGACUGACGGCGUUACGGCUGUGCCCGGCAAUGAAGGCACGUCGCGACAUCGUGACCUGAGGAUCGUGGAAGUCGCGGUGAAGGAUUCGGAAGUUUGUGUUUGUGGAGCAGGCGUAGGAGCGUAUCAUCCGAGCUAGGAGAAGGAGGCUGCCGACAAGGAGGCGUUGAUGUGAAUUAUUCCGCGCAGCCCGACAGAGUGUCCCGUAUUCAUGAUAUCUGGCCGCAACCGGUGAUCCUCGUGAGUGUGGACUGGAGCCGUUGACGAUUGCGUUUGGGCAUCACGCUGGGAUCGCCGUGUACCAUACGCUGGACGCCUUUGUCGCAUGUGCUGCUGGACCUGCCACGCAGGCGAUGCACGGUAACGGUCUCCGUUUGUGUGACGACUUGGCUGAACCGCAUGCUGAGAUGCAUGCCGUGUUAGUGUCGACAGUUGGUCUGAACCGCUCUGCGUUGUGGAUUCUGCUCAGGAACAAAAGGUAGGAAGGCCGCGGUAUGGGGGCGCGCUACAGAUGUUAUGCACUGACUUGUUUCGAUGACUGAGGGGCGACGGACCGAAUCCGUGUCGCAGCGACUGACACUAAAGUUGGAUGGGAGAACCCGCUCCUUCCUGCCUUCCGUCGUGUAGCUGUUUACCACAGUCAGAACAUUGAUGCGCAAGGUGUGCACCUCACCGGGACCGCGGCCCGUUGCUAGUGACCGUGAACGGUCAGGGCCAUUAUUGUCGGCGGCGUGCCCCUUCUGUAGCUUGACAAAAUACGCAACCCAAGGUGCUGGCGCGUCCCGGAAGUCAACAACAGGAGUAGAAUUUUGCGCGCUAAUGAGUGGAUGUCGCAGGGCUGAUGCGGCCUAUAGCCCUGCACAACGAGACGUGUCUUUCUCAGUCGUCCGCGGUGCAGUGGCCUUGGCAUCAUCAGCCAGUGUUUGAUGUUUUGCAUUAGCAUGACAGUCAUUGUCGAGAUAUGCUCUGAGUUGCUGAUGUAUCACCUUACGGCCGGUGUUCGUAUGGUGCCGGAUGAUAUAAACCAGCUGGGAAGGAAAACUGAUAACGCGUCGUAGUAUUCCUUCACGUGGAUGCGCCUACUGAUAGGCUACGAUAUCCUAUGGAAUGCGUCACUAGGGAGGCUGCGUGUCUCUGUCUUGGGUCCCUGGGUGCUGUGUCGAUGCUUUCGAUAGGCCUCGUGUCGACGCUGGCGCGGUGUUGCCUUCUGCAGCGUCCAGGGUGGCACCGUUGUCAUUGUGUUACAGGUCUACGGAACUGGCGGCCUCCUCGCAGUCCGCUUCACCAGCACACGUUCUGUAUGUGUCGGCGGGACGGUCGCGCGCGUUCAAUUUGACUUGACGGAGAUGCAUCCACCGUUGCUAGUGGAGGCAGAAGAUGAGAACGUGUCCCCUUAAGACUGAGCUAUAGCGGGAUCCUGUGAGGCAGGUUCCCUAUGGUUGGUCGUCGUGGGCGCCUGACUCUAAAUGGAGGCACACGGCAACGGAAGCGGCAACGUCCAUCCCCAACGAGCGAGUCACCACGCGAGCCAUUGGCGUCUGGUCGCAUGACUAUACGAUCGUGCCGCUGUUCUUGGCGUUCGUGGAAAAGGCGGUAGGAACCGCGUGGACGACCGAUCCCGGUGGAACUCCGAGUAGUGAAUGGUGCAUGUGGGAUCGAGUGAAUGGGGAAUCGAGUGAAUUGAGGCGUCGCGCACUCACUCUCCAAGGACGAGUGAUAACGACGUUGUGAUUAACUAUUUGUGAUUAUGUUGUUGGAGUUCGUUUUGCACCGAUGAGGGCUUUGAGUGUUUGUGUUUGUCGAACUUGUGUUGGACCACAGAAUUGAUGGUCACAGGAAGGCAAGCAGCAUUGUGGCUGAUGCGAAGGGUUAACGUGGAUUUCCUCUCGCAGCCGACUGGCGUCCGCCCCAUUUCGCUUACCGUGUCGUCAACCGGGGGUAACCGAGAGUACUGGGGGAAGCAGGUGAGGGUCUUCGUUUCGGCUGCUUCCAUAUUGAAUGCGUUGCAUUAUGACCUUGGCACAUUGGUUACGAGUGCUGCUGAAUUUCUCAGACACUCUCGACCGACGGCAACGGUCUCGGUUUGUGCGACGGCCUGGAUGAUCCGGGUGCUGGGUCGCAUGCCGUGACAUUGUCAGCUGAUGUUGCGAUCUGGUUUGCGCGGUGGAUUCUGCUCAGCAACAAAAAGUAUGGACCGCGCGCCUUGGCGGCGGGCACCAGCUGUGUGAUACCGAUGCGUUUCAACUAAAUGGGCGGUACCAAGGAAGAACCGUCACUAAACGUGUCACCAAAUGGGAUAAAAUAUGUCACUCUGGCCUGCCGGUCGCCGUGUCGGUGUCAAUCAAAGUCACGGCAUGGUUGAACGAGGUGUGCAGCUGAUCGAUGGGGAGGGCGCGUAGGCAGAGCACAACAACGUGCAGCCACACUGUUUUCGAUAUGACGGUGCGUCACGUCUGCAGUUUAAAAGAGUACGCAAUACGACCUCGCUGGCGCGCUCAAAAGACAUGCGCAGUACCGCAGUACUAGGAUGUGAUGCGCACCGUUUGGUCCGCGUGACGAGGGCGUGUGCCAAAGAGUCCAUCCAUAUGCAGGCAUAUGUACUUUUUGGGCGUCCAGUGUGCAAUGGCCGUGACAUCAUAAGCCAGCGUUUGGUUUUCCGCGUGAGAGUGACUUCUUUUCGG